UACGGGGGGGGCAAGCGUUGUUCGGAAUUACUGGGCGUAAAGGGCGUGUAGGUGGUUUCGUAAGUCUGGCGUGAAAUAUCUCGGCUUAACCGAGGCAGGUCGUCGGAUACUGCGGGACUAGAGGACGGUAGAGGCGUGUGGAAUUCCGGGUGUAGUGGUGAAAUGCGUAGAGAUCCGGAGGAACACCAGUGGCGAAGGCGACACGCUGGGCCGUACCUGACACUGAUGCGCGACAGCAUGGGGAGCAAACAGG
rnacentral:rRNA from 1 species